AUGUGGACACUGGAAAGAAAUCUCUCAUGCAACGAUGUGUAAAACUACAAAAACUAUUAAUUUUCUUCAUGUUUUGUUCUGGUCUUCAGCAGAAACCUCCUGAUUACGAUACUGUAAUGACAGCUGAUUCCAAUUCUGAUUUGGAUAACUUGAGUGAACUGCUGAGACUGAGCAAAGACGAAACCCUGCGGUUGGUUGCAGCCUCCAGAGGACGGAAUGGAGAGGGUGCGCGUCAAGUUCCAGGAAGGGCUGGAGGGGCUACCAAGUUACUUGGGCCGGUUUUGAGACCAAUGCAACAUCUGAUGACACCAUACACCUAGUGGACACGUCAGUCAACCAGAACCUUACACAUAUCAGUGAAGUUGUCUGUGGAGGAGUCCAAGGAAAUGUUGCAGACUGGACAAACGCUGCCGCUGAGAGUGGGAUAGACAGCCUAGCCCUGCUGCGGCUCUCCCUGAUCUCCUGGCUCUCUCGACGCUCUCUCCCCUCUCUCGCUGACACUCUCACAUUCAGUCAGCUCGUAACUUCUGUCUGUAACAUUGCCGGAAACAGAGUGCAGGAGCCUGCAUGGUGGGGAGAGGUGAGGUCUAUGCUCAGAGAUAGUGUCAGUCCUCAUCUGGCCGUCGUAGCCGCGGCGGUCUGCAAGGCAGUGGCCCUCACAUUGGAGGAAACUGCAAUGAUGACUGCGAGUGCUGGCACAGACGACAGCGAAAACAAAGUCUAGCGACUGGG